AGUGAACGCUGGCGGUAGGCCUAACACAUGCAAGUCGAACGGCAGCACAGGAGAGCUUGCUCUCUGGGUGGCGAGUGGCGGGCGGGUGAGGAAUACAUCGGAAUCUACUUUUUCGUGGGGGAUAACGUAGGGAAACUUACGCUAAUACCGCAUACGACCUACGGGUGGAAGCAGGGGACCUUCGGGCCUUGCGCGAUUGAAUGAGCCGAUGUCGGGUUAGCUAGUUGGCGGGGUAAAGGCCCACCAAGGCGACGAUCCGUAGCUGGUCUGAGAGGAUGAUCAGCCACACUGGAACUGAGACACGGUCCAGACUCCUACGGGAGGCAGCAGUGGGGAAUAUUGGACAAUGGGCGCAAGCCUGAUCCAGCCAUACCGCGUGGGUGAAGAAGGCCUUCGGGUUGUAAAGCCCUUUUGUUGGGAAAGAAAUCCAGCUGGUUAAUACCCGGUUGGGAUGACAGUACCCAAAGAAUAAGCACCGGCUAACUUCGUGCCAGCCGCCGCCGUAA
rnacentral:rRNA from 1 species